GUCACUAGAUAUAAAGGUGGACACUGGUUCCUAGAGCUCAGAGGGAUACCUCUAGAGUCACUGAGACAUUAGACCAGCAGUUCCCAACCUUUUUGGCACCAGGGACUGAUUUGGGGGAAGAUAAUUUUUCCAUGGAUGGGGUUGGGGAGGGUUUCAGGAUGAAACUGUUCUGGCUCAGAUCAUCAGGCAUGGGAAGCACAACCUAGAGUGCUUGGUUCACAAGAGGGUUCCUGCUCCUAUGAGAAUCUAAUACUGCCACUGGUCUUAUGGGUAGUGAUGCUCACUCACCUGCCACCCACUCCCUGCUGUGCAGGGGGGUUCCUAACAGGCCACAGACUGGUACUGGUCUGCAGCCCCACUGGGCAAAAUUCUAUUGCUUUUCAACCUAGAUUCUCUUCUGCAAAAUGGAUUUAUGUAUUAUUCUUAACCCUUUUCCUGUUUGCCCUGAGAAUACUCGCUUGGGGAGUACAGUAUUUACCUCAAGAUAACUUUGCCAGAUAAAGAAAUAGCUCACUUUUAUUAUUAUUUUCGCAUCACUCUAGUAUAUAGACUUUGGAAACAAAAGACAUCAUUCUAUUUAGAGUAUCCUGUUUUUGGUACUGGUAUUUCCAUGUGCAAAAUAGAGUCAUUUUCGAUCGCCGAAAAUGUCAAAUCCUAGCAAACGUAGCAUUCCUAUGAGUGAUGUUAACACCAUUCUCAAAGAAUUGGCUGAAGAUUCAUUCAAUGAAUCCGAUUUUUCUGAAAUAGAUGAUUCUGACAAUUCAGAGGAUUCUGAUGUUAGUUCUGUUUACAAAUAACUCUAAGAACAGUGUUUAUAUUUUAUUUUCACACUGAAAAUCAGUCAGCUUUGCUUCAGCCUCAAAGAGUGUGUUUCUGUAAAAUUAAAAGAGCACUUGUAGAGCUGCAUGGCUUUUUUCUCAACUGGGAGGAAGGUUAACUGGUUUCUAAAGCAUUAGAAGAACAUUUUGAAGCAUGUAUUUCCUAAAUAGGUAUCCUCAGGAGCAGUGGCUGCUGAGGAUUCAGACACUGUAUCCCAGAACAGUGUCUGGGUAUGGUCUGGAGGAACAUUUAUACCAAGGAAUCAGAGCUGGAAGGGUGUGGUGAGCCCAGCCCACCAGGUCCUGACUUUGCAGUAAUAACCUUUCUGGCAGAAUGACUUUACAACUUAACCAGGAAACCCAAGAGCUCCUCAGAUAGGCUCUUCAACAGCCCAAAGUAUCAUUCUCAGAUAGGGGCACCCAGGGUAAGGGUAUUAGCCAAAGAUCCCAGGAUGGGCAGCUAGCCCAUGUUUAAAUACAGGUCUCCAAUGCAUGGAUGUCACGGCAUGUGUUCUACAACCCCCAGAGUCCAUGCAAGGUGCCUUGUAGAAACCUUUGGUCAGCCUCAUUUCUGCUAAAACAGCCAUCUUCAAGACAGCCCCUGAAGAGACCAACUCAGGUCCUGCCCUGCUGUCCUUUGCUGAAGAUGAGGAACAGGCUCUUGGGCUAAGGUUCAGGGUAGAGCACAAGGGACCAGAGAAGCUCCUGGAGUUGGCUGGGUGAGAGGGCUCUCCAUUUGCUGCUUGUAGUAGCCUGCCUGCUAACUGAUUUCUUCUCCCUAGUUGCAGCCCUGCCCUGGUCUGAUGCCCCAACUCUGCCUUUGUUGUUCCCUCCCACCUCCCUAUUAAAUGUUGUGUACAGAA